rnacentral:lncRNA from 1 species
UGUGGUACGGAGGCUUGAAUCCAAGGCCGUGAAUCCAGGAGCUGUGUCUUCAACAUUCUGAAAAUUAUUUAGAUUGUGAGUCGAGGUCUUGCUAAGUCCUGAGUUGCUGGCCCUGGGCUGCAGCCUGCAGUCCUGCUGCUUCCACCCUGCACAGGGCUGGGAUCACAGGCCGGUGCCACCACAAAGGGCAGAGCAAUAACUUCAGAGAACAGGAGCAGACCAGCCAAUGUGUUUGCUAUGGACGGGCCCACCGCACAGGGCAGCAGAAAUCAACAUGUGAAAAAAUGUGCUUGUGACCCAUUGCCGACACCCAGCCCGCCCAUGUGGACAGUGACCAGUUGUUCGCUCCCAGAAACAUCGGCCAGCUCACUGCAGGAGCAGCAGCAGCUCCUAACCGACUCAUUCAGCUCCCUCCCUGGUUUAUCUCAUGCUGCAUGGCUCCUCUAUGAAGCGACCUGGCUGAUGGGGCUGGGCUGGGCUAGGAGCCCAGCACUCCAGACUCAGGUCUGUGUUCUGCUUCCUACUGGCUGUGUGUCUUUGGGCAAAGUCAGUCAGUGUCUUACCUACACUCCCAC